rnacentral:rRNA from 1 species
AAUCAACGCUGGCGGCGUGCCUAACACAUGCAAGUCGAACGCGAAAAGGGCUUCGGCUCUGAGUAGAGUGGCGUCCGGGUGAGUAACGCGUGGGUAAUCUACCUUUGGGUGGGGAAUAACUAGUCGAAAGGCUAGCUAAUACCGCAUAACGCAGUUUUCUAUUAGGGAAUUGUUAAAGCAGUAAUGUGCCUAAAGAUGAGCCUGCGUCUGAUUAGUUUGUUGGUAGGGUAAUGGCCUACCAAGACUACUAUCAGUAGCUGGUCUGAGAGGACGGCCAGCCACAAUGGCACUGAAACACGGGCCAUACUCCUACGGGAGGCAGCAGUGGGGAAUUUUGUCGCAAUGAGCGAAAGCUUGACGCAGCAACGCCGCGUGAAGGAUGAAAUCCUUCGGGAUGUAAACUUCGCAA